rnacentral:rRNA from 1 species
UACAGAGGUCUCAAGCGUUGUUCGGAUUCAUUGGGCGUAAAGGGUGCGUAGGCGGCGCGGUAAGUCGGGUGUGAAAUCUCGGAGCUUAACUCCGAAACUGCAUUCGAUACUGCCGUGCUUGAGGACUGGAGAGGAGACUGGAAUUUACGGUGUAGCGGUGAAAUGCGUAGAUAUCGUAAGGAAGACCAGUGGCGAAGGCGGGUCUCUGGACAUUUCCUAACGCUGAGGCACGAAAGCCAGGGGAGCAAACGGG